AGGUUCGGUAGAAGAACGUCCAUUUCCUUCUAAUUGCUGAUGACCUGAUGGGUCGUUAUGGAGACAGUCGUCCCUGUUUCUGAUGAACGGAACUACUUGCUUCCUGCCGUAGAUCCUGGUGUCUAGGAAACGGAGUGACCAAACACAGUGUGAUGACUAUAGAGACACCCUGAAUGAUGCAUUCGACCAAAGAGCAACGAAUUGAAAUUAUACUGAUGUCUGGAUCGGGAGGCAGUCACAUAAAACAGAUCAUGGGGUUACCGGAGACUGUCUCAUCUACUGUAGGGCAAAGGUAGGGUACAUCCUGGACAGGUCGCCAUCCUGUCCCAGGACACGGAAUCACUACCACACCCUGAGCUGUCAGAAUCCAGUCAUCAAGGGCCAACUGACUUGCCAAUGAAACUCCUUGCUGGCCAAACACAACUGAUCCAGAUAAUCAGAUGAGACAGGAUUUCUGGAAAACCAGCAGUAGGCCGGUCCUCGAGGCUUGGAGUUUGACACCCCUGCUUUAGAGUACACGAUUAACCUAUAAAGCAUGUCUUUGGACUGUUGGAGGAAGACAGAGUACCUGGAGGAAUCCAGGUACUCCUGGUUCAAACCAUGGCCUUCUUGCUCUGUGCAAUCCGUGAUUCUGGAUAAAAUGUAUUAAAAGUCAUUGGUACCUAACUUAUACUAAAUAUUGAGUGUCAUUAAUAAUCCAUGUCUCGUCUCUCCCUUCCACCGGCUCUAAAUAGA